AUUGAACGCUGGCGGCAGGCCUAACACAUGCAAGUCGAGCGGAGCGGCGGACGGGUGAGUAAUGCCUAGGAAUCUGCCUGGUAGUGGGGGAUAACGUCCGGAAACGGGCGCUAAUACCGCAUACUAUCAGAUGAGCCUAGGUCGGAUUAGCUAGUUGGUGGGGUAAAGGCCUACCAAGGCGACGAUCCGUAACUGGUCUGAGAGGAUGAUCAGUCAAAAUGGAAAGUGGAAAAGGGCCAGAAUCCUAAGGGGGGGAGGAGGGGGGAAUAUUUGAAAAUGGGCGAAAGCCUGAAUCAGCCAUGCCGGGGGGGGGGAGGAGGGGUUCGGAUUGUUAAAGACUUUAAGGUGGGGAGAGGUUACAAAAGAAUAAGCACCGGCCUACUUCGUGCCAGCAGCCGCGGUAAUAC
rnacentral:rRNA from 1 species